rnacentral:tRNA from 1 species
GGCCCCGUGGCACAAUUGGAUAGCGCGCGUCCCUCCUAAGGACGAGGUUGCUGGUUCGAACCAGCCGGGGUCACCA